UGGGGAAUAUUGCACAAUGGGCGCAAGCCUGAUGCAGCGACGCCGCGUGAGGGAUGACGGCCUUCGGGUUGUAAACCUCUUUCAGUAGGGAAGAAGCGAGAGUGACGGUACCUGCAGAAGAAGCGCCGGCUAACUACGUGCCAGCAGCCGCGGUAAUACGUAGGGCGCAAGCGUUAUCCGGAUUUAUUGGGCGUAAAGAGCUCGUAGGCGGUUUGUCGCGUCUGCCGUGAAAGUCCGAGGCUCAACCUCGGAUCUGCGGUGGGUACGGGCAGACUAGAGUGAUGUAGGGGAGACUGGAAUUCCUGGUGUAGCGGUGAAAUGCGCAGAUAUCAGGAGGAACACCGAUGGCGAAGGCAGGUCUCUGGGCAUUUACUGACGCUGAGGAGCGAAAGCAUGGGGAGCGAACAGG
rnacentral:rRNA from 1 species